rnacentral:rRNA from 1 species
UACGGGGGGGGCAAGCGUUGUUCGGAAUUACUGGGCGUAAAGGGCUCGUAGGCGGCCAACUAAGUCAUACGUGAAAUCCCUCGGCUUAACCGGGGAACUGCGUCUGAUACUGGAUGGCUUGAGUUCGGGAGAGGGAUGCGGAAUUCCAGGUGUAGCGGUGAAAUGCGUAGAUAUCUGGAGGAACACCGGGUGGCGAAGGCGGCAUCCUGGACCGAUACUGACGCUGAGGAGCGAAAGCCAGGGGAGCAAACGGGG